CGACAGGAGACGCAUCCAUCCAUGAUGUAUACGACUAAAAUAGUCUAGCUUGCUACAUUUCCAGAUAUUACACGUUUCAGAUUUUGAUAGAAAGUGGUUUCAUUUCAAGUUAAAGUGUACUCUUAGCUAGCUAACGUUAGCUGGCUGGCUCGCUAGCUAUCUUUAGUGUAUGAUCUUAUUAUUCAUAUCUCAGAGCCAUUUGCUUGACCAUUUGCUAGCUACAUGUCUUAACAAAACUCCACUAAGUAUCCAUUUCAAUAGAAUGCCACUGCAACAAUUGUUGAUAGAUGUACUAGCUGGUAAAUUCGCUCUGGCUAUCUACUCCGAUUUCAGACCACGGUCCCCAGUUGUCUUGAAAGCACCAUAAGUCCAGAGAAUGCCAGACUUUGAUGACAACAUUUGCCCACGAAGGACCGUCGCGCCACCUUCCUGUUUAAGUGUGCACAGCACAACAAGGUCAGUUGGAGCUGGAGUUGGACCCUGAAAGCAACAAACUUCUACUGCACAGGUCACCAGAAGAUGCAGGACCAGAACAGCCUGUCUACCGUCUAUUCAUUGCAGAAUACCAUGAUUAUCUACAGGGCAGACAAAAGGCCCUCAGCAUUUGAGGCCAAACACAGUAAGCAAUACUAAGUGCUGUAUACUUAGUAUUGCUUGCUGUGUUAGGGAUCUGAGCUACAAUGGCCCACGGUAGAAUCUUCAGUAUCA
rnacentral:lncRNA from 1 species